rnacentral:lncRNA from 1 species
CCUACUUCCGGCUUAGAGACAGCAGAAAGCCAAAAGAGAGCUUGAAGAGUGUCCCCGGAGAGGAAGAGGAGGAAAACGAAGAACAGAAAGAGAGAGGCACGGCCGGGAGGGUAGCGCGGCGUCGGCUACUUACUGUAGGAAUAGCUGCUCACUUCUCGAGGCGAACGGGGGAAUGGGCCGACUUGGACUGGCCUCUGGCCUUGAACCCCACCUCCAUCUUCCUGGCUUUGGUGGCCCUUUUGUGUUUACCUUCUCUAGAGGAUUUCAGAGACAAGCCCAGGCCUUUGGCCAGUGUCUUCGUGUUCUUGCCCAGCAGGCUGUCAUAAGGACUCAAGAACCUGCCGCAACUCCCACUAGUUUUCGAUUUCCCCCCAGAACUGUCCGAAAACUUGAAGGGUGACUUCAACUUGUCCUGCUUUGUGAGGGAGAGGGCCUUGUCUAGCUUGCUUGCCAACUGCUCCUGGUCACUGGCCAUCUUCUUCUUCUUAAUCUUUAGCUGGGGAGGGAAGUUGGGUCAUACAUUAGGACAUUCGGCAAAACAGGAUAGUGGGUUUCAGUGCACACCUCUGACAACCCUGGGCUCUAAUCCUUCCUCAUACCUCAGUCCUUACACUUUGUAGAACGAGGAUAUUUGUGUCUGGACAUUACCUGGCUGUUCUGAAGAUGAACUGAGAUAAGGCACAGAAAGCAUUUAUCAGCUUGCAAUUCCAGCACUGGGGAGGCUGAGGCAGGAGUACUACCAAGAGUUCAAGGCUAGCCGGGACUAUACAGCAAGACAGUGUCUCAAAAAACAAAACAAAACAAAAAAACCAGAAAGCAUUUAUCAAAAUGCCUGACCCAAAGUAACCACUUAUUAAAUAGGUGUUACUAUGGUUACAAUUAUCACUGGCCCUGGUAUUUCCACUCUGGCUUUCCAUGGCACUUAUCUUGUACCUCCUCAGAAGCACUUUAAGCAACCAGAACCACUGAUGGCUCAGAGAAUGUAGCUGAGUUGAGAGAGGAAAAAGGUAGCAUUUCAUAAAGAGGAAAGAAGUUGGGACACUGUCAUGUAAACAACAACAAAAGCAUCCCUGAC